rnacentral:rRNA from 1 species
UGGGGAAUAUUGCGCAAUGGGCGAAAGCCUGACGCAGCCACGCCGCGUGUGUGAUGAAGGCCCUAGGGUCGUAAAGCACUGUCGGGAGAGAAGAAGUUCUGACGGUAUCUCCCAAGAAAGCACCGGCUAACUCCGUGCCAGCAGCCGCGGUAAUACGGAGGGUGCAAGCGUUGCUCGGAAUCACUGGGCGUAAAGCGUACGCAGGCGGCUUGUCAAGUCGGGUGUGAAAUCCCGGAGCUCAACUCCGGAACUGCGCCCGAAACUGGCAGGCUUGAAUACGGGAGAGGUAAGCGGAAUUCCUGGUGUAGAGGUGAAAUUCGUAGAUAUCAGGAGGAACACCAGUGGCGAAAGCGGCUUACUGGCCCGAUAUUGACGCUCAUGUACGAAAGCGUGGGUAGCAAACAGGAUUAGAUACCCCCGUAGUCC